UAGGAAGUGGUGUAGAGGAAGCACGAAGAGUUUUGAUCUCUUCAGGUAGGGUUCAAGUCCCUUCUUUCUAG
rnacentral:tRNA from 1 species